GCAAGUCUGGUGCCAGCAGCCGCGGUAAUUCCAGCUCCAAUAGCGUGUAUUAAAGUUGUCGCAGUUAAAAAGCUCGUAGUUGAACCUCGGGAUCAAUGGAUCGGUCAUGCCAUCGGUAUGUACUGGUCUCAUUGGUUCUCACCUUCUAAGGAACCAUGAUGUCAUUCAGUUGAUGUUGUGGGGAAUUAGGACUGUUACCUUGAAAAAAUUAGAGUGUUUAAAGCAGGCUAACGCUUGAAUACAUUAGCAUGGAAUAAUGAAAUAGGACAUCGCAUUCUAUUUUGUUGGUUUCUAGGAUCGAUGUAAUGAUUAAUAGGGAUAGUUGGGGGCAUUAGUAUUCAAUUGUCAGAGGUGAAAUUCUUGGAUUUAUUGAAGACUAACUACUGCGAAAGCAUUUGCCAGGGAUGUUUUCAUUAAUCAAGAACGAAAGUUAGGGGAUCGAAGACGAUCAGAUACCGUCGUAGCCUUAACCAUAAACUAUGCCGACUAGGGAUCGGAUGAUGUUGAUUUUUUAAUGACUCAUUCGGCGCCUUACGGGAAAC
rnacentral:rRNA from 1 species